AUCACUCACCCAGCCUUAAUGAUAGCAAUUUAAAAAAAUAUAUAUCUUUAAUUUACUUGCUAUCCUUUCCAGAGAUUUCCAUCUUUAUUUCCUCUCAAUCCGAAUGUCGUGGUCUAUACUUCUCCAUAGCUUGGCUAACGUGUUCUAGAAUCCCUCCCACCAGGUAACAGCUUUCUCUCCUCUUUAGAGCCUCCUUCACAAUAACAUGAGCAUAAAUAUUCAUUGUUUUAGGGAUAAAAUGAAACCCCAUCUCUUGAAAUCUGUCUUUUGUGCUUUGAAUGUCUUUAAUAAUUGCCCCAAUGGUCGAUUUGUCAAUCUUGGAACUUUGGCAUUUCUUUAUAAAAGUUUUUGAGUCACCCUUUACAUCCAUUUUAUUUAAUCCCAUGAAGAUUCCUAAUUUCACUGUUUGUAACUCUGCUUGAGCCUCUGCCAUGAACGGAGUAACUAUUUCAGAAUGAGUGACCAUUUUCGAUGCUAAGAUAUCCCCCUUUUCGUUUCGUGCAAGCAAGCCCGAAACCGAUCUGGAAUGUUGUUGGUCAUAAGCUGCAUCAAAAUAAACUAUAACCCUUGCUCUGCAAACAUUCUGUUGAAAAUUUUCAUUGGACUGGGCUUUGAGAUUUAACUUUGAAUCUGUUUUGCUAUGUCUCUUCAUGUCGCAGUUCUCCUUUCAUAUACUAACCUAUUCCUGUUGAACCAAAUCAACCAGAGUCCACAACAGAAAAAUCGAAUCUGUUCACUAGUCCCCUGUUCGAAAACCUAGGUAAGCCACUCCCACGUAUUCUGAGUAUUGUUAUUCAGUACCCAAGACAGAUUUAAGUGAUUCCAAGUCUCGACUGUUGUAAGACACUAUCAAAAAAUGUGGUUACUGUUCUCCUCAUCUUGACGACAUCGAGGGCAUUGUGCGUCCACCACCACUUUCCUUUGCUUGAGGUUAACAAGGGAAUGAAUAAAAUUCCAAGAGAUUCUACAAACUGUCAAUGUAACUAUUGAGGGGAUGUGUAAUUUCCAUAGUUUCUUAUAGAAAUUUUUUAUUUCGGUUUGUAUAAAGUAAUUAUUAGGAUCCACGCUAAACUCCUGUAAUAGUUUAUAGGCGCUUCUGAUUGAGAACUCACCGGACAGUUCACCUCUUCAUAUUUGUAAAUCUUCGUAUGCUGUCUCUACCAGUGGAAUCUGCAUGAUUUUCCUUGCAAAAUCCAUACUAAAGGUAUUCAUAAUAACAUCUGUUUUCCAAGUUCUAGUAGUGGCCUCUAUUAGAUCCGAAACUAACCUGAUAUUUUCAUUAUUUUCAUGGUUUUGUAAUCUGUCUGCUUCAUCCCCUGAUAUCCACAAAUCAUCCCAG
rnacentral:lncRNA from 1 species